rnacentral:rRNA from 1 species
CCUACGGGAGGCAGCAGUGAGGAAUAUUGGUCAAUGGACGGAAGUCUGAACCAGCCAUGCCGCGUGCAGGAAGACGGCUCUAUGAGUUGUAAACUGCUUUUGUACAAGGUUAAACCUGAUUUCGUGUAUUCAGCUGAAAGUACUGUACGAAUAAGGAUCGGCUAACUCCGUGCCAGCAGCCGCGGUAAUACGGGGGAUCCAAGGGUACUCCGGAUUUUUUGGGUUUAAAGGGUGCGUAGGGGGCGUUUAAGGCAGCGGGAAAAAUUUGGGGCUCAACCCCGCCCGGCCGUUGAAACUGGGGGCCUUGAGUGGGCGAGAGGAAGGCGGAAUGCGUGGUGUAGCGGUGAAAUGCAUAGAUAUCACGCAGAACCCCGAUGGCGAAGGCAGCCUUCCGGCGCCCUACUGACGCUGAGGAACGAAAGUGCGGGGAUCGAACAGGAUUAGAUACCCGAGUAGUC